AUGUAAAUAUCCGAUAUGCAGGAUGGUCUUAGGCGAACCCUGUGAAAGGGUUGUUCGACCGUCAAAGGGAUCGCGACCCACAGGUUGAGAACCACUGAAAUAGAUAAUGUCUUUAACCCUCUUUGCUUAUUAAAAUGAAAUUUUUCUUGGCAUCCUUUGAAUUAUUGCAUUUUUUAUCCCAAUGUUAAGAAAUUCCAAAGACUCUUAAUUCUCUAAGCCUUAGUGUCUGAAGCACUGAAUGAACUUAAUGAGAUUUUCUUAUAGGCCUGUACUUUUCAGUAAAGUAACCAGCCACAUGCAGCUAAUGAGCACUGAAAAGUGGCUAGUCUGAAUAGUGCUAGAAGUGUAAACUAUCUGCCAGGUUUUGAAAACCUGUGUGACCAAAAAAAAAAAAAUCUCAUUAAUCUUUAAAAUGUUGACUGCAUGUUAAAGUGAUAAUAGUUUGGGUAUAUUAGGUCAAAUAAAAUAGUAAGAUUAAUUUCACCUGACCAGUUGGGCAGCCUGGGCCUCCCUGCCAGGAGCCUUAAAAGAAGAAGAGGCUCAGGGCACCUUGUGUGGUGAAGGGGUUGAAGCUCAAUGAAGAAUUUUGGCAGUAUAACACCUUCCAGUACUGGAGGAAUCCUUUACCACCUAUUGAUCUGGCAGACAUUGAAGCUAUAAAUGAAGGUAACCUUACAGAAGCAAGGCUUCAGAGCAAGGAUGAAGUGGUUGAGAUUGACAUGGAGUCCUGACAGAGGAACUGAAGCAAUGGGUUUUUCUGAAUUUGAGAAAACAUCUCUAAGUGACUUACAUAUUCUUAGGGAUAAAAGUUAUUUUCCAUACUUUAUGUGAUUUCAUUCCCAAACCUGAAAAAUGAGAAAAGUUGUUUUAAAGAUAAAUGCCUACAGUCACUACUGAAACUCCCAAUAGGAUUUGUCAGUGAUAUAGUACAGUUAUAGAGGAAGUAUUUUAUGUGUACAUUCUUAAAGAAAAAGUUAUGUUUAGAUUCUAAAUUUGAAGAUAUCAAACUUAUAAAUUGCAAGCUUUAGAAACAGGUAGGAAAGACUCAAAUAGUCCUCUCUGCAACAAAAUGUUAAUUUGUGGUACAUGAAAUGAAUGUUGUUUUAUAAUACCAAUAAAAUGCUCUUUAAUAUACUUUAUUGGCUCUUCCUAGUUGAACAGAUAGAUGACUUAAACAUCUAUGCAAACUUAAAAUGUGAGGCAUUUUUCAGAAAGCUGGUAUUGUUUUAAAAAAGCUUUCCAAAAAAUAUAAAAGAGCUUUCUAAAUGCGAAGUAGUGAGAAUUUCAAUGUGGGUAGCAUGUUUGCAUAACAUCUAAUAUUUGAUAUUUGUUAAACUCUACUUUGGGCUAUCAAAAAUGAAUAAAGAACUAUGAGAAAUGAGUAGAUGCUUCCCUCCACUCUUUCCCAAGAUAAGAGGAAAGUUUAUUUCUUUUUUAAAAAUUUCUUGAUUUUGAAUUGCCUUCAGGGCGUUGUUUUUAUUGCUUCUUACUAUACACUUGUAGUUCUCAACACUGGCAAUACUUCACAUAUCUUUGCCUGAGAGAUUCUCCUUUACUUGUUCUGAUGUGGACCUUAGAUAUAGCUAUUUUUUUAAAGCACCCAUCCUCCUGUUUACAGGAGAUAACUAAUUUGAGCUGAAGCAAUGCCUCUUAAUUAGCUUUGUUUUUAUUUUGCCCUGUUGAUGACUUUAUUACAACUAAAUUAUUCUGUAGCUACCAUUUCAUUGUAUUUGAGUUAUAUGAGCAUCAGUGAUGAAGUUAAUUUUGUAUUGUAUUCUAGAAUGUUGGCUUUGUAAUUGAGUAAGUUGUCCUUGUGUAUUUUUUUGUGGUUAAUGAUAUUCAAAAUCCAGGAAGGAUGGAUAAAAUGCCAAUGAGAGGGAAAAAGAACAAUGUUUCAUGUGUACUGUGGAAUUUAAAUAUGGGUUGACAUUAAUAAGAAUAUUAUAGAACAGAAAGCAAACUGUAUAGUAUUGUGGUUGAAAUUUAAGGCUUUGGAGUCAGACCUGGUUCAAAGUCUUAUACUGCCACUUUCUACCUGUGUAACAUUAAGCAGGUUCUUUCUCAUCUCCAAGCCCCAGAUUCCUUCGUUGUAAAUAAGAAACAAUAAAUAGUAUCUACCUCAGAGA